UAGCUCAGUGGCUAGAGCGAUGGUCUUAUGAGCCAUAGGUCGUGGGUUCGACCCCCGC
rnacentral:tRNA from 1 species